UACGAAGGGGGCUAGCGUUGCUCGGAAUUACUGGGCGUAAAGCGCACGUAGGCGGAUUGUUAAGUCAGGGGUGAAAUCCUGGAGCUCAACUCCAGAACUGCCUUUGAUACUGGCAAUCUUGAGUCCGGAAGAGGUGAGUGGAACUCCUAGUGUAGAGGUGGAAUUCGUAGAUAUUAGGAAGAACACCAGUGGCGAAGGCGGCUCACUGGUCCGGUACUGACGCUGAGGUGCGAAAGCGUGGGGAGCAAACAGGG
rnacentral:rRNA from 1 species